GCCGCGGUAGCUCAGUUGGUAGAGCGAGGGCCUGAAGAGCCCUGCGUCGGCGGUUCGAUCCCGUCCCGCGGCACCA
rnacentral:tRNA from 2 species